rnacentral:piRNA from 1 species
AUCUACUGCUUUGUCUAUGAGGUG